AGAGCAGCCCCCAUGUUGGCCUCUACCCUGUAUUCAGCCUCUGGAUUUAGCAGGUGUUUCUUUCAGGUAUGCUGUCACGGUGAUAGGAAAAAGCAACUAAUACAGAAGGCAAAGGUGGCCACUCUGGAAAUACCAACUGCUGCAACUUGGAGAGAUGCAGGUAUGAUUCAAGAAAAGAAGUAAUGAAAUGAAAGAGAAGGGGAACUGGAGACUCA